rnacentral:lncRNA from 1 species
GUGAAGAGAGCAGCACAGGGUCAGUGAUUCCCACCACCGCGCGGGGGGGGAUCGCAGGCUGAGCCCAGCCGGGCAGACCCUAUCUCAGCCAGAAAGAGGGAGGGGAGGUGGCGCACGCCUGUCAUCCCAGCACUCGGGAGGCUGAGGCAGGGGGAUCGCUGUGAGUUACAAAACAAAAGGCCAGGGCUGCAGUCAGUGCCAAAGCCCUGGGCUCAAGCCGCAGUCCUGCACAACAGUGAUGAUUGUCAUGGUUCCUGGGAGCUGAAGCAUCAGGGCCGUUAGCAGGAGCAGAGGCAGCGCUGCAGCCUGGGAGAUGAGAUAAGCCCCGGCCCAGGCUGUGAUCCCCACGCACCUCGGGGACCCUGCAGCCAUUGGCAGCACCUUGCUCUCGGCCCUGGUUCCCAGACUUGCACCUUGGCAGCUCCAAGGGCUCCACCUGAGUGGCGAGGCCUGGGAUCCCGGAUCCCCAACAGGUUCCCGGAUGAUCCUGCAGCUCCCACCUGGGGGCCUCUGGCCCGGCUGUUUUGAGAACCACUGCACUAAACUGAGAACGAGGUCUUCAGAAUUCCCACUCGGAAUCAGCGUGGUGGCCUACACCUGUCAUCCCAGCACUCAGGAGGCUGAGCCAGGAGAAUCACUGGGAGUUUGAGGCCAGCCUGGGCUACCCAGCAAGACCCUCUCUCAAAAGAAAACAAACACCCCCAAAAGCAAAGUUCCCACUCCCCAAGGCACCAUGUCCAGGUCUCUCCAACCUCAUUCCUUCCAGCCCCUCCAACCAUUGCUGAGGUUUUCUUGACCCUCCCUCCCCAGUCCCUGCUCUGGGCAGGAGCUGCCUGUUUCCAGCUCUCCCUAGCUUUCUAUUUGUCCAGAGCCCAGAUUCAUUUCUUCAGUUUUCUCCUUGCUCUGGGCAGAUCUACGGGCUGCUUGCAGGAGCUGAGCACCCCAGCACGGGGCAGAGGCCUGGGCUCGGGCAUCACAGGCCCAGCCGCCCUUACUGUGCCACACGCACGCACAGCCUUCGCCGCUCCAUCCUGGGCGCCAGCUCCUUGCUGGCUUCCCAUCCCCAUGCCUUUCCCUCUCUGGGUUUCCCGGCUGAUGCUUGGUUGGCGCUGUCUGUGUUUCAGGAGAUAACCUGCAGCCCUGUUCUUUUUGAGGUCCAUUUUGGGAAACAGGCAAGGGGCCGUGGGACAAGCAGGAGUCUGGGCUGGAGCAACGUCUUCCAGUCGGGGUGGGAGGGGCAGCCGAGCCGCUGGCUGGCAGGAAGACCCCAAGGGACAAUCACACCGGCCUUGUGCAGGUGACUAAGGCCAGGGCUGACACAGUACACUAGAUCUCUACCACUGAGUUACAUCCGCCCUGUCCACUUUUCAUCUUGAGACAAGGUUCAUGGAGUUGCCUGGGCUGCCCUGGAUCCUUCUGCUUCAGCCUCCCAAGAACCUGGAAUUACAGGAAUGCCCCACCACGCCCAUCUACAGAAAACUUUUACUAUUUAAAAAAAAAAAUCAAACCCAGUUUGCACUGAACUAGAUCCACAGCCCAUUUUGAGACAGCGUCUUGCUACAUCACCUAGGCUGGGCUCGAACUUGUGAUCCUCCUGCCUCAGCCUCCCAGUGUGCCAGGAUUACAGGUGUGCGCCUGGCUUAGCUGUGGAAACCUUUACCAGUGAGGAACCUGAGUGUCAGGUCCCAUUUUCCAAACGAG